UACAGAGACUGCAAGCGUUAUUCGGAUUCACUGGGCGUAAAGCGCGCGCAGGCGGUGCGGUAAGUCUGUCGUGAAAUCUCCCGGCUCAACUGGGAGGGUGCGGUGGAGACUGCCGGACUGGAGGCACUCAGAGGCCGGUGGAAUUCCCGGUGUAGUGGUGAAAUGCGUAGAGAUCGGGAGGAACACCAGUGGCGAAGGCGGCCGGCUGGGGGUGACCUGACGCUGAGGCGCGAAAGCGUGGGGAGCGAACCGG
rnacentral:rRNA from 1 species